rnacentral:lncRNA from 1 species
UGUCACCCAGGCUAGAGUGCAGUUGCGCGAUCUCGGCUCACAGCAACCUCUGCCUCCCGGGAUCAAGCGAUUCUCCUGCCUCAACCUCCUGAGUAGCUGGGACUACAGGCAUGUGCCACCACACCCAGCUAACUUUUUUUGUAUUUUUAGUAGAGGUGUUUCACCAUGUUAGCCAGGAUGGUCUUGAUCUCCCGACCUCAUGAUCCGCCAGCCUUGGCCUCCCAAAGUGCUGAGAUUACAGGCGUGAGCCACUGCGUCCAGCCAAGAAUUCAAUUUUUAAAAUGGGGCUGCAAAAAGGGACUCUAAAUAAGUACUCUGGAAGCCAGGUGUCAAGUUUCAGUUUACUACUAGCUGUGUUACCUUGGGCAAGUCACUUAACCUCUGAAUCUCAGACAAAGCAAGGAGCAAUAAAUACUUCUAGGUUCUUUUUUUUUUUUUUUUUUUUUGGAGACAAGUUUUCUCUUGUUGUCCAGGCUGGAGCCCAAUGGCGCAAUCUCGGCUAACUGCUGCCUCUGCCUCCCGUGUUCAAGUGAUCUUCCUGCCUCAGCUUCCCGAGUAGCUGGGAUUACAGGUGCCUGCCACCAUACCCGGCAAUUUUAUUUUUAUUUUUUUUUGAAGACAGAGUUUUGCUCUUGUUGCCCAGGCUAGAGUGUAGUGGGUGAUCUCAGCUCACUGCAACCUCUGUGUCCUGGGUUCAAGUGAUUCUCCUGCUUCAGCCUCCCGAGUAGCUGGGAUUACAGGCACUCACCAACACACCCAGCUAAUUUUUUGCAUUUUUAGUAGCGAGGGGGUUUCACCAUGUUGGCCAGGCUGGUCUGGAACUCCUGAACUGAAGUGAUCCACCCACCUCAGCCUCCCAAAGUGCUGGGAUUACAGGCGUGAACCACCAUGUCCGGUCCUAGGUUCUAUUCUAAUUCUAAAAGUUUCAUUAUCUCAUAGGGGUAGUAAAUAGAUUGUACUUUUUUUUAAGAUAUGGGGGAGGUAGUAAUCCAACAUUUUGAUAUGGGGGAGGUAGUAAUCCAACAUUUUGUAAAACACGGCAACUUUUUUGUGGACUUGAUUUUCUUCUUUUUUUUUUUUUGAGACGGAGUCUCACUCUGUCGCCCAGGCUGGAGUGCAGUGGUGCGAUCCCAGCUCACUGCAAGCUUCGCCUCCUGGUUUCACGCCAUUCUCCUGCCUCAGCCUCCCUAGUAGCUGGGACUACAGGCACCCGCCACCACGCCUGGCUAAUUUUUUUGUAUUUCUUUUUUUUUAGUAGAGAUGGGGUUUUGUCAUGUUAGCCAGGAUGGUCUCGAUCUCCUGACCUCAGGUAAUCCGCCCGCCUCGGACUCCCAAAGUGCUGGGAUUGCAGGUGUGAGCCACCGUGCCCGACCGUGGACUUGAUUUUCAAAUGCAGUGGACCCUUGAACAACACGGGUUUAAGCUGCGUGGGCUCACUUAUAUGUGGAUCUUUUUCAACCAAAUGCAGACCGAAACCUGCAUAUAUGGAGGCCCAACUUUUCAUAUAUCCAGGCUGGCGUGCAAUGGUGCGAGCUUAAUGCAACCUCCACCUCCGGGGUUCAAGCGAUUCUCCUGCCUCAGCCUCCAGAGUAGCUGGGAUUACAGGUGUAUGCCACCACACCCAGCUAAUUUUGUAUUUUUACUAGAGACGGGGUUUCAGCAUGUUGGCCAGGCUGGUCUGAAAGUAAACUUUUCCAUAUAGCUAAUUGAUUCCAUUUAAAGAUCUUUUAUUCUGAGAGAUUCUGUUCUUUCAAAUUGUUUGAAUGGAAAUAUCCUUUUGUUAAAUGAAAUGAUGGUGAUAGGAGAUAGUGGUGUGUUACUGUUUUUAUUGGCUGUACCUGGUAGAAGUAAAAAAUCAGCAUUUCUAUUGUAGCCUCCUAACUGGGGGGAAAUAUUUCUUUAGAAACCUAAAAGUCUGGAACUUUCCAUCAUUAUGCCUCCCCAGAAUAAUAGAGGACUUUACACACAGAUUACACAUGCCCCUCAAGAUUCUCUCAUUAAUCUCUACCUUAUUCUGUUUGGAUUAAGACAUUUAGGGAUUGUGAAAUGAGAAUAAAGUGAAUUUAAGCAAUCCAAAACCACAUGCUGACUCUGGGUCCUCAAAGAUUGCUUUCUUCAGAAUCUUUUUCAUGUGUUAACUUUCCUCUGGGCUCAAACUUUCUUUUCCUAAAACAGUCACAUCUUUGAGUAUUACUGCUACAUGGCAAUCACUAUCAGAAUAAACUAACUUGAGGCAUCCAAUAAUCAGCUUUCAUUUAAAGUCUCUUUCAGCUUGACAAAAUAAAAACUUUCAAUGAUGUUGUGUCUACCACUUCCAAAAGAAAAUUAGUCUAUAUCCGUACAUAUAUAUGUGAUUAUAUAUGUAUACGUACAUAUGUGAUUUUGAUCAGCCUGUUUAUAAACUACUUGCAAAACAAGCUGAUUUGUAAAUUCAUUUAUUAAAUGAGUAGUUUAUAAAGUACUUGAUUUUUGCAAGCAGUUUAUAAACAGGCUGAUCAAACUGAACAAAUUUCUUAAUUUCACUGUAUAGAUAGCAAAUAAAUUAUUUACUCUUAUUGGCAUAUCUUAUUUUUACCCACCCUCCUUUUGCAAGCUUCUAAGUUAAACUAUUUUAUGUCCACAGCUACACAAUGAAACAUCACUUUCAGUCACAACAUAUUAAAUUCACAUUUAAAACUAUAAAGAGAUCCAGUUACCUUUAGUCUUACAUGUACUUAUAUAUAUUUUUAAUAUACUACUUGAUGUUUUAUGGUGCAAAAACACACAGCUCUUGCAGGAUGCAUUAACUAUGAAAAUAUUUAGAGUGUAUGCUUAUUAAAUGGUUCAAAACUCUCUUUUUAAAAGAAA